CUAAACUAUACCAAAACAAAUUUCACACAUGAAAAUAGUUAUCCUGUAGACAAGGUUACGUUUACAAUAAUCUGAUGAGUGACAAUAUUAGGCCUAUCAGUUGUCAUAUUGAACAUGAAGAGAUGUGAGCAUCUUGUAAUUGACAGAUGCAGUGAAAGGAGCAUCUCUUUAUCAAAUCCUCAUUCAGAGUCACAUGCAGGUAACACAUUGUGAUUUCUAUAUAGUACUGUAUCUGAAAGAGCAGAUUCUGCAGGUUAAACAUUGUGAUUUCUAUAUAAUACUGUAUCUGAAAGAGCAGAUUCUGCAGGUUAAACAUUGUGAUUUCUAUAUAAUACUGUAUCUGAAAGAGCAGAUUCUGCAGGUUAAACAUUGUGAUUUCUAUAUAGUACUGUAUCUGAAAGAGCAUAUUCUGCAGGUUAAACAUUGUGAUUUCUAUAUAAUACUGUAUCUGAAAGAGCAGAUUCUGCAGGUAAAACAUUGUGAUUUCUAUAUAAUACUGUAUCUGAGAGAGCAGAUUCUGCAGGUUAAACAUUGUGAUUUCUAUAUAGUACUGUAUCUGAAAGAGCAGAUUCUGCAGGUUAAACAUUGUGAUUUCUAUAUAGUACUGUAUCUGAAAGAGCAGAUUCUGCAGUUUCCUUGACACUUACCUUUAUCAAAUAACUCU
rnacentral:lncRNA from 1 species